rnacentral:rRNA from 1 species
GCUCGACGCGUCUCGCGACCAUGAUAGAGGAGAAGAUUCUUAGGGAAGGAGAGUUCACCCUUAGAACCGAUCCGUGAGCUGGGUUAAUAGCGUCCACCGGCAGUU